AAUAUUUCCCAGACAGCACACGUACGUCUGCCCGACGUCGGCUCAAGAGCGUACGUCGGCCUCCUUAUCUGAAACAUCUAAUAAGUAUCGGCCAGGCAUCGGCCAAAUCUUCAGUCAAGUCAACGGUAUUUCCCGCUCAUCAAGCUUGUCUGUUACGUCGGCUUUGGGUCGGAUAACUAUACCGGAGGCCGAUGCCGCGCUUCUCUCUGUUGGUGCGUGCCCAGUUACUCCUCCCUUUGCAACCCACCAGAGCAAAGGCGACAUCAUGGGUGUAUCAACUGCUAAAUUCCGUUAUUCCGAAGCAGUAGGGGGCAGUAAUGUACAUACGCUGGUUGCCAGCCGCCGUUAAUACUCAAACAAUUCCACGUCAACUCGAACACGCAAAACCCCGGUAUGAAGCAUUGUCAUGAGCAUGCCAAACCAACAGAUGGCGAUAUAUUCCUUAACCCAGAGAAGCCACUCCAGUCUCGUCUUGCCAUGAACAAGGAAAAAAUGCGGGAGCUGACUUCGCAGACGUACGUGGUUCAGGCAGAUGGCCAUUGCUUUUCUGAACAGCAGUUGGAAGUAUUCUGAGGUCAUUGGCACUGCUGUAUCACAACAUCAUUUGCUGUGCCUGGGAUAAUGAAGACAAUUUGGGUUGUCGUGUUACACGCCAGGUGAACAACAUCAGAGUGCGGCAGUCAGAGAUCCUAAAGAAGGACUCCAUAUGUUUACUCGAGACAGUACGCCGUACAUCUCUUACGACAAGGAUAUUUGUUUCAGGACCGCUUUCCCGAUACUGACAAGGACAUUUAAGGUUCAGUGGACAACUUGCUUUCAAUGAAUGGUUAAUGUCUGUAGCCCUUUUCACACACAUAUUAUGGAAAAAAUACAGAGUACACAUCCGGGAGUUGUUCGGGAUUAUUUGAUUUUGGUUAAUU